rnacentral:pre_miRNA from 1 species
AGUGGGAUAGCUGGGUCAAAUGGUGAAUCCAUUCCAAGUUUUCUAAGGAAUCUCCAUACUGCUUUCCAGACUGAUUACAUCAAUUUGCAGUCCCACCAUCAAU